rnacentral:lncRNA from 1 species
AAGAGGCCUAGGUUUGCAGUCUGCAGAGCUAUCUACAGGGCUGGUGGGAGACCCCUGAAAAGAAACCGGAGAAGCUUGCUGACAAAAGACUGGAAUUCUGGGCUCAGCUGUCUCCAGGACUCAGGGGCCCAUUGGGCAAUCCAUCACGGAGCACACCUGGCCUGCCCAAAGGACACAGCAGGAAGGAGAUAAACAGUCCCUCAGGACUCAAGCGGAAUAUUUUUUAGCAUCUUGCACUUUUGGUAAGUGACAGUUUUGCAAAUUGCGGAUAAAGAACUUAAAUGUCUAAUUAAAUCCUGAAGAUGUACAGGAGUUUGAAACGAGUGAUUGAUGCUCAACGGAGGUGCGGCUUCCUGACAGAGGCUGCCUGACAGGGACUGCAAAGCCCGUUCAGCAACUGAUGUCUUGUUGUGAUCCAUGUUGUCAUUUUUUCAUUACUGAUUAAAAUUAAAAAUCUGCUUGGCAAAUCCAUUGUAAAAAUUCCCUUCAUGAGCAUCGACGGGUACAAAUUAUUUUGUCAAUCGUCUGGCAAUCAAAAUGGGGCUGGAGACGGUUUCUAGCCCACACUUCUUUAUUAUCUCCCUCUCGCUCACGC